rnacentral:misc_RNA from 1 species
GAUGAAGAACGCAGCGAAAUGCGAUAAGUAGUGUGAAUUGCAGAAUUCAGUGAAUCAUCGAAUCUUUGAACGCACAUUGCGCCCUUUGGUAUUCCAAAGGGCAUGCCUGUUCGAGCGUCAUUUGUACCCUCAAGCUUUGCUUGGUGUUGGGCGUCUUGUCUCUAGCUUUGCUGGAGACUCGCCUUAAAGUAAUUGGCAGCCGGCCUACUGGUUUCGGAGCGCAGCACAAGUCGCACUCUCUAUCAGCAAAGGUCUAGCAUCCAUUAAGCCUUUUUUUCAACUUUUGACCUCGGAUCAGGUAGGGAUACCCGCUGAACUUAAGCAUAUCAAUAAACGGAGGA